rnacentral:rRNA from 1 species
UACAGAGGGUGCGAGCGUUGUCCGGAAUCACUGGGCGUAAAGGGCGCGUAGGUGGCCCGACAAGUCUGUGGUGAAAGCUCGAUGCUCAACAUCGAGUCGGCCAUAGAUACUGUUGGGCUGGAGCACUGUAGAGGCAGAUGGAAUUCCGGGUGUAGCGGUGGAAUGCGUAGAGAUCCGGAAGAACACCGGUGGCGAAGGCGGUCUGCUGGGCAGUAGCUGACACUGAGAGACGAAAGCUAGGGGAGCGAAUGGG